AAGGUGGAACUGGAAAAUUCGAAGAAGAAGCUGGUGAAAAAGGCUUGCCGGUGGUGUCCAAGGUGUUCAAAGAAUGUACUGGGGACACCUUAAAAUAUGCUACACACUGGGGAUCAAGGGUGGAGAAUACACAGACGCCUUAAUGGACUUCUCUACUUUUUUCAUUUUUUGUUCAUUCACUUGAAUUGAUUUAUAAUAUUAGUAAUAAUAAUAAACAUGUAUUACAUCGAU